GAUGAACGCUGGCGGCGUGCCUAAUACAUGCAAGUCGAGCGAACAGACGAGGAGCUUGCUCCUCUGACGUUAGCGGCGGACGGGUGAGUAACACGUGGAUAACCUACCUAUAAGACUGGGAUAACUUCGGGAAACCGGCGCUAAUACCGGAUAAUAUAUUGAACCGCAUGGUUCAAUAGCGAAAGACGGUUUUGCUGUCACUUCUAGAUGGAUCCGCGCCGCAUUAGCUAGUUGGUAAGGUAACGGCUUACCAAGGCAACGAUGCGUAGCCGACCUGAGAGGGUGAUCGGCCACACUGGAACUGGUACACGGUCCAGACUCCUACGGGAGGCAGCAGUAGGGAAUCUUCCGCAAUGGGCGAAAGCCUGACGGAGCAACGCCGCGUGAGUGAUGAAGGUCUUCGGAUCGUAAAACUCUGUUAUUAGGGAAGAACAAAUGUGUAAGUAACUAUGCACGUCUUGACGGUACCUAAUCAGAAAGCCACGGCUAACUACGUG
rnacentral:rRNA from 1 species